rnacentral:rRNA from 1 species
GAUGAACGCUGGCGGCGUGCCUAAUACAUGCAAGUCGAGCGAACAGACGAGGAGCUUGCUCCUCUGACGUUAGCGGCGGACGGGUGAGUAACACGUGGAUAACCUACCUAUAAGACUGGGAUAACUUCGGGAAACCGGAGCUACUACCGGAUAAUAUAUUGAACCGCAUGGUUCAAUAGUGAAAGACGGUUUUGCUGUCACUUAUAGAUGGAUCCGCGCCGCAUUAGCUAGUUGGUAAGGUAACGGCUUACCAAGGCAACGAUGCGUAGCCGACCUGAGAGGGUGAUCGGCCACACUGGAACUGAGACACGGUCCAGACUCCUACGGGAGGCCGCAGUAGGGAAUCUUCCGCAAUGGGCGAAAGCCUGACGGAGCAACGCCGCGUGAGUGAUGAAGGUCUUCGGAUCGUAAAACUCUGUUAUUAGGGAAGAACAAAUGUGUAAGUAACUAUGCACGUCUUGACGGUACCUAAUCAGAAAGCCACGGCUAACUACGUG